rnacentral:lncRNA from 1 species
GUUGAAAUCUCCCUCUAGAACCGUUAUCAAAGGUGAAAACUCCAUACCAAUCAUACAAAUACUCUUUGUGUGUGUGUGUGUUUCCAACGAUUUAUCUUGUUCCCACUAGAUCUAAGAUCAACAAAGACCAACAUGCAAGCGUCAGACUUUUUAGUGAGAAACAAACUUCAAAGCAAAAAAGAAAUGGUUUUGAUAAAUUCCCAAAAUCAGAUUAUUCCCAACAACUUCAAUUAAGCAAAGCUCCCACAAAGGGUCAAGAACCAAAUUCUCAAAGGUGAGAGCUUUUUCUCAAGUCGGAUCACGCAAAAUCGAUGAUCCAUAAACAUAAACCCUAUUCAGAGAUUUACCAGAAGCUUAAUUCAACAAAACCCAGCUCACAGAUUCUCUUAAAUCCAGACGAAUUCAGCUGUUAGACUAAUGAGAAGCGAAAUCUCGAGAUCGUUCAGAAAUUGAGAAAAUUACCAAAGACAAACGCUCA